CUCUCCUAAUCAACCCACCCAUUAAAUAGACAGGCACAAUAGCACCAUCUGCUGGCACAAAAAAUACAUAACAAUAAACUGCAAAACCCCAAUCUGGCUCCUACAAAGUGUAUGUGACAAGAUGAUUAACGUUUGCUUUUGUUAAAUCAGGGCUUCCCCAGCCAGGACUUCGGCUCAGACUGUGGCAUAUUCAUGUUGAUGGUAGGUCAUAACGAGCUGUAAUGCACAAAUAUUGUAUCUAGAAUAACUUUCCAACAUGGACUUUUUUAAAGUUAUCUCACAUGUUGUCUCAUAAUUUUUUUUUUAAGUCUGCCAUGUACAUCGUUAUGGAGUCACAGUUUGACUACUCAGUUGUAAGUACUUUUCAACACGCAGUGUCAUCCUCAAGAUUGUAUUUUGUAUUGUGCACUAAAAUGAAAUACAAACAACAAUUUCAGCAUGACAUGCCUGUUUGGCGGCGAUGGUGGUGCCUGUUGCUCCUGGAGAACAAUUCUUUGAACAGGUAGACAGUUUAAGUAAACUAGAUGUCCUAAUUAACUGGAAGACAAUCAAUAUAUUGUACUUAAAGACAUAUUGUCAUUACAGUUGUGGGAAAAUCUUCGCCCACUGGAUCAAAGAAUGUCAAGAGCUCAUUGCUGGAAAGCAUACUCCGGUCUUCAGUCUAAAGAGGAAGGCAGAGCAGCAGGACAUAGAGGUUAGAAAAUUGCCUUGUAAAAACAGUAUUAUCUCAGUGGGAGUCCUUCAAAAUGCACACAGUUGUAUGGAUCAACAUUGUCUCGAUGUAUUUGGUAAUUGAUG